rnacentral:rRNA from 1 species
UAGGGAAUUUUCCACAAUGGGCGAAAGCCUGAUGGAGCAACGCCGCGUGAGGGAUGAAGGUCUUCGGAUUGUAAACCUCUUUGGAGUGGGAAGAACGAUUCCGGUGUUAACAGCGCCGGGAAGUGACGGUACCACUAGAACAAGACACGGCUAACUCUGUGCCAGCAGCCGCGGUAAUACAGAGGUGUCAAACGUUGUCCGGAAUUACUGGGCGUAAAGGGCGCGUAGGCGGUCCUAUAAGUCAGAUGUGAAAGCUCUGGGCUCAACCCAGGAAUUGCAUCUGAUACUGUAGGACUUGAGUUCGGUAGAGGAGGGCGGAAUUCCAGGUGUAGCGGUGAAAUGCGUAGAUAUCUGGAGGAACACCCGUGGCGAAGGCGGCUCUCUGGUCCGAAACUGACGCUGAGGUGCGAAAGCUAGGGUAGCAAAC